rnacentral:rRNA from 1 species
UACGAAGGGGGCUAGAGUUGCUCGGAAUUACUGGGAGUAAAGCGCACGUAGGCGGACUCUUAAGUCAGGGGUGAAAUCCCGGGGCUCAACCCCGGAACUGCCUUUGAUACUGUGAGUCUCGAGACCGGAAGAGGUGAGUGGAAAUCCUAGUGUAGAGGUGAAAUUCGUAGAUAUUAGGAAGAACACGAGUGGAGAAGGCGGCUCACUGGUCCGGAUCUGACGACGAGGUGUGAAAGCGUGGGGAGCAAACAGG